rnacentral:misc_RNA from 1 species
GAAAUGCGAUAAGUAAUGUGAAUUGCAGAAUUCAGUGAAUCAUCGAAUCUUUGAACGCACCUUGCGCUCCUUGGUAUUCCUUGGAGCAUGCCUGUUUGAGUAUCAUGAAAUCUUCAAAGUAAAUCUUUUGUUAACUCAAUUGGUUUCUACUUUGGUAUUGGAGGUCUUUGCAGCUUCACACCUGCUCCUCUUUGUUCAUUAGCUGGAUCUCAGUGUUAUGCUUGGUUCCACUCGGCGUGAUAAGUUAUCUAUCGCUGAGGACACUGUAAAAGGUGGCCAAGGUAAAUGCAGAUGAACCGCUCCUAAUAGUCCAUUGACUUGGACAAUACUUUUAUGAUCUGAUCUCAAAUCAGGUAGGACUACCCGCUGAACUUAAGC